UCCAGCAUUUCUGUGAGACAAUGUCUCUCCCCUAGGAGGCAGACUUCUCGUGGACGGGAAUUGUUGCCCGUUUGUGGGCAAUGAGAGCUGGCACAGCGCCAGCCUGGCACAUGGUGGGCACUUGUCUCCAGACCUCCGAGGCCCCUGCAUCAGAGGGGGGCAGUCUCAGGGUGCCUGGGCCGGGCCUCUGCAAUUCACUCUCUGUGUGACAUCAGGUGGAGUAAAGGCUGGGGAUGCUCAGACAAAAGGAGGCUGGGGCUGGUCGUCAGCAGCCCCUGGAGCCCACGUAACGCAGUGAAAACCUCGUAUAAAGGCGAGAACUGGUCAACAAAGCGUCCGGCCGCGGCUCCGGAGGGAGGAAGCAUUCCCGUGCCCACCCCCCUCCCCGUCGGAGAGACCCCAGCAGAGCGGGACACAUGUUUUUGGACGUGGCCGAUGUGGGCUCUGUCUUGCUUGACUAUGCAAGUUUUCAUAAUUUUUUUUUUCUUUUUCCAACAGGAGAGAGUAGGAAGGAGGGAAAAUAAAUAUUUAACUGAAAAAAUAA